UACUACUGCUAGUGAUGCUAAGAGCACUACAUACAAGAAGAAUAGAUACUAACAGUAACUAUGUAUGAUGAAUUACAUUCCAUUGUUAGGUUAAUGACACUAAGAGGAUAAGUACAAUUCUCUGCUAUUGAAGACUACAUUGAGAAGUUAAUUGUUUGCUGUUUGAAGCUGUACAUUAACUGAAGACUAUA